rnacentral:rRNA from 1 species
UACGUAGGGGCAAGCGUUGUCCGGAAUUAUUGGGCGUAAAGAGCGUGUAGGCGGCCAGAUAAGUCCGCUGUGAAAUCUCGAGGCUCAACUUCGAGUGCGUGACGUGAAUCAUGCUAGAGUCCGGAAGAGGAGAAUGGAAUUCCUGGUGUAGCGGUGAAAUGCGCAGAUAUCAGGAAGAACACCCGUGGCGAAGGCGGUUCUCUGGGACGGUACUGACGCUGAGACGCGAAAGCGUGGGGAGCGAACAGG